rnacentral:rRNA from 1 species
GAUGAACGCUAGCGGCAGGCUUAACACAUGCAAGUCGAGGGGUAUAGUUCUUCGGAACUAGAGACCGGCGCACGGGUGCGUAACGCGUAUGCAAUCUACCUUUCACAGAGGGAUAGCCCAGAGAAAUUUGGAUUAAUACCUCAUAGUAUUAUAGAGUGGCAUCACUUUAUAAUUAAAGUCACAACGGUGAAAGAUGAGCAUGCGUCCCAUUAGCUAGUUGGUAAGGUAACGGCUUACCAAGGCAACGAUGGGUAGGGGUCCUGAGAGGGGGAACCCCCAACUUGGUACUGAGACACGGACCAGAUUCCUACGGGAGGCAGCAGUGAGGAAUAUUGGACAAUGGGCGCAAGCCUGAUCCAGCCAUGCCGCGUGCAGGAUGACGGUCCUAUGGAUUGUAAACUGCUUUUGUACAGGAAGAAACACUGGUUCGUGAACCAGCUUGACGGUACUGUAAGAAUAAGGAUCGGCUAACUCCGUGCCAGCCGCCGCGGUAAAAC